GGCGGCAUGGCCAAGUGGUAAGGCGUCGGAUUGCAAAUCCGAGAUCCCCGGUUCGAGUCCGGGUGCCGCCUCCA
rnacentral:tRNA from 1 species